GGUCAGCGGCGCCGGCGUUCCGGGGCUGUUGGCGCCCAGGAAAUGGUUUGGGAAGCGUGGGCGACUCGCUGUCCCCCCCCCCCCCCGGCCGUCUCGCGGAAGAGUUCAAGCUGCUCUCGGCCUCGGGAAGCUGUCUGGAGCCCGCGCUCUGGGCGGUUUCCCACCUGGCAGUAGAGUCGCUUGGGAGUCCAGGCGCUGGAGGGGUUACCCGUCGUUUGCUGGGAGAGGCGGAGGCUGAGCGCCGUGGUCUGGCCAGAGCUACCCAGACGGGCCAGACCCCCUCAUCCCUGCUGCCCAGCACCCGCACACACCUGGGCGUGGGGAGUGAGUUGCCGCGUUGUCCCCUUUGCGGUUUUCUGGAGUUCAAACUAGAAUUCCAAUCUACUUGGUUAAGCCCGAGCCAGCUGCUCCUGACGGCGUAUUAAGAACUCAGUGCCUCUCCCGAUCAAAAAUUGCAUUUUCAACAGUUUGGUGGAAAUCCUAACUACUAACCAUGUUUCACAUUAUUCACGUGUUAUCACUGACCGCCGUUCGGUUGGCACCCAUUUGGCUGUCCCAAAUCUCAGUAGAGGCCUGGUGUGGAAGAGCCCUUUUUUAGCGGCCUUUCUAGUCUGCCGGUGAGCCCAGCUUGUGGCACCAGGAAACAGGUGCAGAACAGGAGCAGUUCCCGUCGGAGACCUGGCUACUCACAGGAGCCGGGGCCAUGACUGCUGCUGCUUUUCACCUGGAGACACAGAGGUUCCCCUUUCCCUGACAGUUUCUGCCACUGUCUUUGGAGCAACUGGAACUGAGAGCUGAAGGCUGAGGCUGAUUGACAGAGUAACCAGAAAGUGAAAACCAGAGGAAGACAGUGUCCUGAAUAGAGUGGACUCUUGAGCCAUUUUUCUGAGGAGCCGCCACUCCAUAGAGGGGACAUCAGUUGUGUUCAGGAGGACAGGGAGAAAGAGAAACUACCUCUUCAAACAUCACUGGGAAACUUGGGUGCUCCUGGGACCAAGAGUUUGGAGAAGGAAGAGUAAUAAGGAAGUAAGCAAAGAGGAAUUUGUUGACAGUUGCAAGCAAAGUAGAAAUAGAUUAGAUGAAUUGGUGUUGGGGAACCUGGAGAGGAAUGUUUAGAGCAAAGAAGACAAGAGGCAUGAAUAGAGGCAUGGCAUGACUUUCAAGCUGUGGAAACGUGAACAGUAAAGUACAACGGACAAUAGGUUGGAUGGAUGUUCCCUGGAGCUGCAGGUGCAGUGGCUGCCACAAGGCGGUGCUCUGACUACAUCUACUUUGGCUUCCACUGUGCUUUUCAUUUUCCCACUCCUCUCUCGUCUUUAAGGGCUCUAACUAGAGGUCUGUCACACUCCAGCCAUAGUCAGCCAGCCUGUUAUUAGUGCCAAGCCAUCCUCCUGGAGCAAUGACAGUGUAAAUUUCAGCAGUGGCAGAAAGGGGACAAAUACAGCUGUUGUGCAUUUUAGAAUAAUUGCCACAGACCAUUUGGAGACAGCUUUAUAAUAACGGCACUUAUACAGACUUAUACAAUAUUUCCCUUUUCUGUUUUAUUCCUCCCUCAACACUUUGCAACAUGAAUGUGUUAAUCCGCUCAUCUUGUGAGUCUAGAAUUAUCUGCUCCCUAAUUUGCUUUUCUUUUACUUUAUUUCAUGUGUUUAUGUUUAAAGCAACUGGCCUUUCUUUGGGCAAUUAGGGUGGUUCAGGUAGAAACCUGUGUUCUGUCUGCUCCCCAGUUUUACAAAAGGAGGCUUGCAGUCCCAGGGAAGGUACCAUUCGCCCUUUUCCUACCUUAUUCCUUCUGCUGGGAGUCCCCCUCUUCCUGCCCUCGCCUUUUCCCAACACAAAUGCUAUUUGUGAAACCCCUCUUCUCACCCCACCCCAAGUCUGGCUCCUCUUUUUGCUUCCAUUGUCCCGAGUUCACUUACCAGCUAGCUAGUGUUUAUCUCAUUGUGUGCUCAGUGUUUCUUAUCUAUCACCUCUAUUCCAAGUUCCUUGAACUUUCUUUAUAUUCCCCAGUGUCCACCACAACUCCCCACAUAGUGAGCACAUGGAUGGCUGGAUAAAUAAAACAGGCUCCAGCAGAUCAAAGCCCUUGCCCCAUCUUGAGUCCGCAGCAGAGUUGGAAAUAUCCAGAAAUUUAGACCCGAACCAGAAUAUCUUGCUGCUGUGGUUGACCGUGGUCUCUCCACAGAAAAGUUCUAAAUGGACCUAAAUGGAGUCCUGCAGUGUGCCACAGAUCCGGGGAGAUGCCCGGAGCUGGCAUAGCAAGACUUCAAGGCCCAUAAUGUGUGCAGAAGGUCUGGAUGAUGCAGAUUACUAAGACCACCUGCCUUACAUGGCAGUUGAAGCAGCGUCCUGGAACUGAUGUCCUCAGAGGCAUGACAAGAAGCAGCAAACCAUGUGAUCCCAUGUUCCUCUGGUUUUUUUUUUUGGGGCGGGGGGAUGGACAUCUCUCUCCAGGUGACUGUGAGACCCCUGAAUUUUAGCACCCUCUGAGAGAAUCAAAGAGGCAUGAACUCCCUGUGUCUGGAUCCAGUGUGUAUCCUUUGCAUGGCUUGCUGGCUGGCUCUGGACCAAACCCACCAAAAGCGAUCUUGCUCUGAACCCGAGUCAUCAUUCCCACCCAUCCUUUCUGAGAUGGUGGAGGAAGGACAGCAUAUUGGGUAUGGUUGUGAAAAAGCUCAUCCCUUUUGGUGUGUCCUCUUUCUUGCGUAAACCAAACUUCUUUUCUGCCCGCCUGUUAAUUCUUCCCUCCCUCUCUUUGUUCCAUCCUUCUUAUGUAUUUAAUGAGUACUCACUAGGUGCCAAGCUCUGUGCUGGAGACACAAAGAUGAAUUAGGUACAGUGCUCUACCUUCAAAGAAUUCACAGGAUUCUGGAAGAGACAGGAAGGUCACAAUAUACUUGUAUAAAUGCCAUAAUGUAGGAGGUAUCUGUGAGACCCUGGAAGUUCAAGGGAGUGGGCCAUAGCACACUAGCAGGUGUUUGGUAGCCAGCUGGUGGGAGGAGCCCUGAUUGGUAGUGUUUGCUGAUGUCUGACGUCCGUGUGGCAGACAUUCCCAUCAUGGCUGCUCUCAAGCUACUAACCUGAUGUCACUGAACAGAGUUGGGAAGGGACGUACACAGUUGGCCCUUUUGAUGCAGUAAGAGCCAUUUCUAGUAUACCACCAUGACUUCCCCCUCUAAGACCCUGAGCAGAGAACCCAUUCAAGCUGUACCUGGGUUUCUGACUUACAGAACCAUGAGCUCACAAACGAGUUUGGUUUUAAGCUGCUAAGUGUGUAGGAAUUUGUUUUGUUGCCAUAGAAAACAGAGCCUAUUACACCCUUUUUACAGAUGUGAAAACUGAAGCUUAAAAACAGUAAGCAAUUUGACCACAAGCAUCUAGCAAGUGAUGGGGCUGGGAGGGCAACUGAGAGGUGUCAGAUUCCAAAGCUUGGGAAACUUACUCCUGUGUUCCAUGACUUCCCAUAGAAAACCAUGUCACAUAGCCAGGAAGGGCCAGGGUCAUGAGGGAUACUAUUCCUCUGUUCCUUCGUUCGUUCGUUCGUUCGUUCGUUCAUUUAUUCAUUCAUUCAUUCAUUCAUUUUUAAGGACCAGGAGAAAAUGUGCGUUAUUAUUAAAAAUGAAAUUCUGAGUCAGAAGAAAAUCAAAUGUUGAGUGCGGCUUUGUACUUGAAGUGGCGUCCCAGUGGUUACCUUGAUAUUUAUUUCAGAGGAUAAUGCUAUAGAGUAAAAGAAGUUUCACAUGGGACUGUACUCAUUAAAUAUUUGAUUUCGGCUAGAGUGUCCAUUUCUACUUUUCUGCUCCAGCCUGACCAGAUGUGCUCAGAAAAUGUGGUUUCCCCUGAAUAUGUACAUCUGUCAAAAUUCCUGUCAAUGUUAGCACAACUGCCAAGAGAGUGAACAAAGAGAGUUAGCGAUUAACUUCAAAGAAUUUUGUUGGAGAGGAAUAAAGAUAUUUAAGGUCUGUUUUGUGAACUAAUUGCAUUUGCAUAUUUAUGGGAUUUACUGAUAUAGCAGUAAUUAAAAACUAUUUAGUAGUCUUAAAGGACACAUAACUCAGUUGCUGUUUGCAUAAUAAACACUUCUUAUUAUGUUUGCAUAAUAAAACCUCUCCCCCUCCUCCUUCCAAAAGACACUGGUCCAGCUAAGAGGUGUUGUAUCUUACUUGGAAAUAAUGGAGAGACAAAGUGCAAGGGCUCCUGGGAAUGUGGAGACGGGACUUCUGAGAGAAAUACAUCUCUAGGUAGCCUCUUAGUGACAGGCCUGACCCUAGACUGCAUUCAAGAAACAACAGAUUCAAACCUCAGAUUACUAAGUCUUUUUCUUAGCUGAUAUUUUAGGAAGGCUGAAUGCUUAGCUUCUGACAAUUCCAUUUUUUUUGUUUUAAUACACUGAUCUGCUUGAAAGGCCUGAACGGGGUUCACCUCACAUUCAUCCUUCCUAAAUAGCUUAGAGGGGUGUGGUGAGAUCUUUGAGUAAUGGAUAAAAAGUACUGUAUUAAUGAGUGAGAAGGGACCAUUUUCCUGAAAAAAUUCAUGAAAAAUUAAAUUUUCAUGAAAAAAAAGAUGAACAGGGAAGAGAUACCAAAUCUAAAGGCACCAAGUAAACAAGCUAAAUCCAGACAGGACAGUAAGAUUGGAAAAACAAAUAUCUGAGCCAUUUGGUGAUUCAGAGCAAGGCGAUCAAGGAAAGAUGGAGAAGCGUCUGUGUAUAAACUAUUUUGAAAACAAGUCAGUCACACAAAACCGUUCCCAUCUUGGCAGAAUUCAUCAGCCAAUAAAGAGCUGUAAUGGGCAGGAUCACCAGACUGUUGUUAAAUUAGCUAAUGAAGGUUGUAAUGUACCUGUAUUACACAUCAUUAGCAGUGGCCUUCCAGUAACAGAUGGGUACAUGAGGAAGUGAGAAGAAAAGGGAGGGGAAAGCAUAUCCCAGAAGGUCUGACUUACCAUGGCUUGCUAAAAUAAAAUGUGUGGCAAGAAUGUAAUGCCGAUCAUCAUCACGAUUAAACCUUUGCAUAAAGGGAAGCUUCUGUGUCGCCUUCCCAUAAAAAGUGCUAGGUACAUAGAUAUGUCUGUCUGCAGCUUGCUUUUCUCCUCAUGGUAAGUGCUGGGACUUUGGUGGCCAGAUCAGUCUUUGGUGAUUGUAUCUCUUGAUAAAGCCCCAUUUAUCUGGCCAUCCUCUUUCAAGGAUGUUUCUAAACUUUCCAUAAGUUUGUAUCAAAUUUUCACUACCAGGUUACAUUUCUUUUUUUUUUUUUUUCUGAAAUAUUUUCAAAUACACAGCAAGACUGGGAGAAUAGUAAAAUGAAUCCCGCCCCCAACCGUUUGAGAGUAGUUUGCCAACAUGAUGCUCUGUCGCCUGUGAGUGCUUAGAAUGUGAUUCUUACGAACAAGAACAUUACAUGAUCUCAAUUCCAUCAAAAUCGGGAGUCUCUAGGCCCCCACCUUGGGUUUUGCGAAGUCUCCCCAAGAUGUUCUUUGUAACAAAAGGAUCCAAUCCAGAGUCACACAUUGCACCCAGUUGUCAUGUCUCCUUAAUCGGCUUUAUGGGACACGGUUUCUCCGUCUUUCCUCAGCUUCCCUAACCUUGACACUUUUGAAGAUUAUAAGCUGUUUUGUAGAGUGUCCCACAGCAUGGGGUUAUCUGGUGUCUCCUUCCAGAUAGAUCCAAGUUUUGAAUUUUUGGCAGGAUGAUCACAGAAGUGCAGCUGUGUCUUCUCAGUCCCUCCUAUCUCAUGGCACACAACUCCCGUGAUUGGUAACGUUAAUUUUCAUCAUUUGAUUAACGUGUUGUCUGCCAGAUUUCUCCACAGAAAGUUUUUUGUUUUUUUUGUUUUUUUUGUUUUUUUUUUUUACUCAUUCUGAUUAAUAAGUAUGUUGUGUAAGUGUCCUGUUUUUCAUCAAACUUUUGCCAGCUAGGUUUUAUCAGCCACUGAUGUUUUUUGAGUGAAUUAUGACUAUGAAGAUUCUGACAUUCCUUCUACAUGUAUUAGUUGGCAUUCUAACUUAAGGAAAAGUCUUUAUUUCAUUCAUUUAUUUAAAUCAGCAUGGACUUGUGGAUUCGUUUUUUUUUUUUUUAAUUUUUUUAAUGUUUAUUUUUGAGAGAGAGAGAG